GGCAACGACCAUACCACGUUGAAUAAUACCGGUUUUCGUCCGAUCACCGAGGUUAAGCAACGUCGGGCGCGGUUGGAUGGGCUGACCGCUUGGGAACACCGCGUGCCGUUGUCU
rnacentral:rRNA from 1 species